rnacentral:rRNA from 1 species
AUUGAACGCUGGCGGCAUGCCUAAUACAUGCAAGUCGGGCGAGCGGCGGACGGGUGUGUCACGUAUGGGGACUUGCUUGACGGCGGGGGUUACCUACUGGAACCGGUAGCUAAUACCGCAAACCUUCCGAUGAACCCUUAUGGGAUAAGCUAGUAGGUGAGGUAACGGCUAACAUAGGCGACGAUCCCUAGCUGGUCUGAGAGGUUGAUCAGCCACACUGGAACUGAGACACGGCCCAGACUCCUACGGGAGGCAGCAGUGGGGAAUAUUUCGCAAUGGGCGCAAGCCUGAUGGAGCCAUGCCGCGUGUGUGAAGAAGGUCUUCGGGUUGUAAAGUACUGUCAUUCGGGAGGCGGUACCGACAGAGAAAGCACCGGCUAACUCCGUGCCAGCAGCCGCGGUAAUAC